GGCUCAGGACGAACGCUGGCGGCGUGCCUAAUACAUGCAAGUCGAACGGUCUUUUCUAUGGAAGCUUGCUUCCACUGAGAAGAUAGUGGCGAACGGGUGAGUAACACGUGGGUAACCUGCCCAUAAGAGGGGGGAUAACAUCCGGAAACGGGUGCUAAUACCGCAUAGUUUUCUUGAUCGCAUGAUCGGGAAAGGAAAGACGGCCUUUGUGCUGUCGCUUAUGGAUGGACCCGCGGCGUAUUAGUUAGUUGGUGAGGUAACGGCUCACCAAGACGAUGAUACGUAGUCGACCUGAGAGGGUGAUCGGCCACAUUGGGACUGAGACACGGCCCAAACUCCUACGGGAGGCAGCAGUAGGGAAUCUUCCGCAAUGGACGAAAGUCUGACGGAGCAACGCCGCGUGAGUGAAGAAAAGGGUUUUCGGAUCGUAAAACUCUGUUGUCAGAGAAGAACAAGUUGGAGAGUAACUGCUCCAGCCUUGACGGUAUCUGACCAGAAAGCCACGGCUAACUACGUGCCAGCCGCCGC
rnacentral:rRNA from 1 species